GAUGAACGCUGGCGGCGUGCCUAAUACAUGCAAGUCGAGCGAACAGACGAGGAGCUUGCUCCUCUGACGUUAGCGGCGGACGGGUGAGUAACACGUGGAUAACCUACCUAUAAGACUGGGAUAACUUCGGGAAACCGGAGCUAAUACCGGAUAAUAUAUUGAACCGCAUGGUUCAAUAGUGAAAGACGGUUUUGCUGUCACUUAUAGAUGGAUCCGCGCCGCAUUAGCUAGUUGGUAAGGUAACGGCUUACCAAGGCAACGAUGCGUAGCCGACCUGAGAGGGUGAUCGGCCACACUGGAACUGAGACACGGUCCAGACUCUUACGGGAGGCAGCAGUAGGGAAUCUUCCGCAGUGGGCGAAAGCCUGACGGAGCAACGCCGCGUGAGUGAUGAAGGUCUUCGGAUCGUAAAACGCUGUUAUUAGGGAAGAACAAAUGUGUAAGUAACGAUGCACGUCUUGACGGUACCUAAUCAGAAAGCCACGGCUAACUACGU
rnacentral:rRNA from 1 species